CGGGAGGCGGGAAGGUCGGACGCUGACAGAGCUGUCGCCUCAGUUAAACCUGAAAUAAACAGGAGAAAGCAGCAAUGUCUUCUGACAUGUCACAAUAUACUAUUGGGGGAGUGAAGAUUUUGUUCCCUUGCAAGGCUUACCCUUCACAGCUUGCUAUGAUGAAUGCUAUCGUUAAGGGCUUAAAUACCAGGCAGCACUGCUUGUUGGAGAGCCCCACAGGAAGUGGCAAAAGCUUGGCAUUACUUUGUUCUGCAUUAUCAUGGCAGCAGGCUCUGUAUGAGAAAUCACUGCUGAAAUCAUCAUGUGAAAAGGAGGACAGAAAGGAGCCAGCAGCCGCCCCACCGUGUUGCUGUGUUUGUCAUUCCCUAUCCAAGAGCAGCGAGGAGGCUACAGGAGCGAGUCAUGGUGCUGCAUGUUCCAGUAAUCAUGAAACAGGAGGCUCUGUAAAAACUGGAGGCCAACAAACAGACGCAGAAUGCAAGGAAAACAAUACCCUAGCUUCAAAAUUGUCUGCCAAAAAAAGGGCAUCUGUAUGUGGAAACGAGAGCGAUGACUUUCAAGUAGACAGGAAGAGGAUUCGUCCUUUAGAAACAGAGCAGCAGGUUAGAAAACGUCAUUGCUUUUCAAAAGAGGUGCAGCUGGUUGAUGCUCUAGAAGUUUAUAAUCAGAGAAAAAAUGGGGAGCUGGUUGUUCACUCUGAAAAAAGUGUAAAAAACACUUCUCCCAAAACGCUUUCCAUCCCUUGCACGGAGUGUUCCUGUUCCUCUGGAAAAGAAACUCGUAAAGAUGCUGGUAACACAAAGAAGAAAGCAAAUGGAGAUCAAAUGUUCAUUCCCAAAAUAUUUUUUGGAACGCGAACGCACAAACAAAUUGCCCAGAUUAGCAGGGAGUUGAAGAGGACAGCGUAUUCCGGUGUCUCUAUGACGAUUCUCUCCAGCCGGGAUUACAGCUGUAUUCACCCAGUGGUGUCCAGUAGUAGUAGCAACAGGAAUGAACUGUGUGUAGAAUUACUGGAAGGAAAGCAUGGCAAGUCCUGUCUUUACUAUCAUGGUGUUCAUAAACUCACUGAACACUAUGCCCUGCACUCUGCACAUAACACAUACCAGGCUUGGGACAUUGAGGAUCUAGUGAGCCUGGGAAAGAAACUUCGUGCCUGUCCAUACUUUGCAGCCAGAGAACUCAUGGUUGGGGCAGAUAUUGUAUUUUGUCCUUAUAACUACCUCCUAGAUCCACAGAUAAGGGAGAGUAUGGAAAUUAACCUGAAAGGCCAGGUAGUCAUUUUGGAUGAAGCCCAUAAUAUUGAGGACAGUGCUCGGGAGGCAGUGAGCUACAGUGUUACAGAAAGUCAGCUGAAUGCUGCUCGAGAAGAGCUAGAUUUCAUGGUCAAUAACAACAUCAGACAGAAGGAUCAUGAGCACCUGCGGGCUGUGUGCUACUCUUUGACAAACUGGCUACGGGCAAGCUCUAGUCAGCUGGUAGAAACAGGGUAUGAAACCUCCUGUAAGGUUUGGAGUGGAAAAGAAAUGCUCAACCAUUUUCACGAAAUGGGAAUAACCAAUAUUAGUUUUCCCAUUUUACAGAAACACCUUUCUGCUGUCUUGGAAAAAGAAGAAAAAAUAUCAAUGUUUGGUAAAGAGGAGCUUGUUGAGAUCCCUAUCGUGAGCUCUGCCACUCAGAUUGUGCUGAAAGGGUUAUUCAUGGUUCUUCUAUAUCUUUUUAAAGAUAACAGCAGGUUUGCAGAUGAUUACAGAGUUGCUUUGCAACAAACUUACGCUUGGACAAAUGAAAACCAACCUGAUGUUUCAGAUACAAGUGCUUUCCUUGCAAAGACCAAACAUAAAAAGAAUUUGCGACAUAAAACUGCAGUCCACAUGCUUAAUUUUUGGUGCUUGAAUCCUGCUGUGGCUUUUUCAGACCUAAAUGAUGUCAGAACAAUUGUUCUGACCUCUGGUACGCUCUCUCCAAUGGAUUCAUUUUCUUCCGAACUUGGCGUGAAGUUUUCCAUUCAGCUGGAGGCCAAUCAUGUUGUCCGGAACUCACAGGUUUGGGUUGGCACCAUUGGAGCAGGGCCGAAUGGUCGGAAGCUGUGCGCCACGUUCCAGCAUACAGAGACCUUUGAGUUCCAAGAUGAGGUGGGAGCACUUCUCCUUUCAGUGUGUCAAAGAGUUGGCCAAGGAAUUCUGUGUUUUUUGCCAUCCUAUAAGCUGUUGGACAAAUUGAAAGAUCGCUGGAUGCACACUGGCUUGUGGAGAAACCUGGAGCUUGUUAAGACAGUCAUUGCAGAGCCUCAAGGAGGAGCAAAAAGUGACUUCGAUGAACUGCUGAAAAUAUACUACGAUGCAAUAAAAUUUAAAGGAGGAAAAGAUGGAGCACUCCUAAUAGCUGUGUGCAGAGGAAAAGUUAGUGAAGGCUUGGAUUUCUGUGAUGAGAAUGCUCGAGCAGUUAUAACCAUAGGUAUUCCGUUCCCAAAUGUGAAAGACCUUCAGGUUGAAUUAAAGAGGAAGUAUAAUGAUCAGCAUAAAACUACAAGAGGCCUUUUAUCAGGGAGCCAGUGGUAUGAAAUCCAGGCUUACAGGGCUCUGAAUCAGGCCCUGGGAAGGUGUAUAAGGCAUAGGAGUGAUUGGGGUGCCCUUAUCUUAGUUGAUGACCGCUUCCGGAACAACCCUAACAAGUACAUAACUGGAUUAUCUAAAUGGAUUCGUCAACAAGUCCAGCAUCAUGAAAAUUUUGGUAGUGCACUCGAAUCCUUACAUGCAUUUGCUGAAAGAAACCAGAAAGGCAUUGAUUUUUCGUCACAGGGUAGCAAUGAAUUUUCCCAUGUACCUUUAAAUUCAAAAGAGCUGUCAUCAGCUUCUCAACAGGAGGCAACUAUUCACCUGUCACCAGAUGUUCCUGUUAAAACUGAGGAGCAAAGUUUGGUCCCAGGAACUCAUUUAACUACAACCAUCGACUCAAUUAAUCCUGAACCAUCAAAUCAGCCAAGUAAUAUCACAGCAAUAAUGCAGCAAAGUGGCCAGAAAGUUGAUGUGGAGAGUCAUUCUCACAAUGCAACACAAAGAAGAAAACAUAUGGACUCCAAACCCAGAAGGCCUGCAACUAAAACAGAGAGAGAAAAAAAGAGUGAUUGGACUAAUUCUGGUUUUAUGAAAGAGCACUGCUGCUUUAAACCACUGACUUCAACACCUUUGCCUGUAGCCACGAACUGCGUGUCCACAGCAAGCAGCAAACAAGGAAAGAAUGUGAACAGUGCUAGUGAACUUAUUGGUGGUGUAAAUCAAUGCCAGUCAUCAUUCACUUUAGAACGUAAACAAAGUAUACCAGAGUCACAUUUGGAAACAACUGAUUUUUCAGUCAAAAAUACAGAGGCCCCAGUUGCUGAGGAGCAUCUUGAUGAGCAAAAGCUUCACAUUGAGCCCAGUAGUGAGCUUCCUUCAGUAGGAGGGAAGCCUGAACUUUCAGUGUUAGACAUGUCUGCAGAAGCUGAGGAUGAGGAUGAGAGCCUUUACUUCACUCCAGAGCUCUAUGAUGAUGCAGAAUCUGAGGAACAGGAAAUGAGACCACUAGAUCCAGAUGAGAAUCAGAUUGAAUGUGGGAAACCCACAGUAGCUGAUGAUCUUUUUGUAAUCAAUACCUCAAAAACACUAAGUGAGCCAAAAGCAAUUACUAAUGCUGAUGUCAGAAACACAGGUUUACUUGGAACAAUGCUGAAUGAUAUCAGUAAGAAUAGUGCAGUUAAUAUUGAAAAGAUGACUAAUGGAAAAGAAGCAGAACAGGUAGAAUCUCAAGAGGUGGACACCAAAAAACGGAAAAUCAGUCUUUCCAGAUCAAGAAAUAAAGGAUUGAAAGUUCAGAGACAGUACAGAAGAGGAAAAUCUACUGUUAGGGCAAGAGACAACACCUGUGAAAAAAAGAAGGAAAACCAACAACAGCCUUGCAAGAGAGGACUUUACUGUAUUAUCUGCGGAGCAGAAAUACUACCAAAAGCAGAAGGCAUUUUGAGAAAAACUUGUUAUGGUGAUAUUGAGAUGAAAGUAAUCUUGAAACUCUUCAGAAGUACGCAUGUAAGAAGUAAGGAAUCCAGUAAUAACUGUACAUGUGAACUAGAUGUCACUUCAGAUGAUGAUAACAUGAUGUUGGUCAUCACAGAUGUUGCAAGUCUCAGUCAUCUUAAAGAAACUUUGAAGAUUUAUCAGAUGCCAGUGAAAAGCAAAGGCACGAAUGCCAGUUUAUCUUUAAAUGCGGUUUGGAAUGAGAAGGAAUAUUCUCUGACAAGUUACUUACAGUGCAAGAGCUGCCUCGUCCAGUCAAUGUCUCCGUGCCCUUUGAUAGGAGCUGAGGUUAUUCAUUUCAGCAAUAAAGCACAGUCAUGGGUCUGGCUGCUCCCAUCGUCUGUUCAUUAUUGCUUACUGCUACAGAACCCUCAAAAACGGAAAGCAGGCAAUUCAGAUUAUUCUUUAUCUUAAAAGAUUUUGCUGAUCUCUACCACAGAUUCAUCAGGACUAAUGAGACAGAUAAGUAAAGGAUUUUGUUAUUACAUGCUAACUCCAUAAAGAUACUCUGGGGUAAGCGGAGAGGUGGUACAAUCUUUCUUGUGAGUGGUGGGAAAGAGCUACCUGGUUACAAAUUCUGGCCCCACUGAAGUCAGCAGGGGUUCUGCCAUUUGCCUUCAACAAAGCAAAGGGUUUCACCAUGUGUUUAACAGGAAUAUUUUGCUGGAACUGUUGUCAGCAUGCUAGUAAAUAGACCAUUUUAAAAUUUGCCUUCUUUUUCACAUUCGAAUGUUUGUUCACCUCGCCUAUGCUUGAUGUAAUUUGAUACAAAAAAUUCUCCUCAAUUUCAUUUUAUUUCAGGUAGGUUUUGAAUUGGUUCAUUUUUUACUUCUUGUGCUUUUAGAGACCCCACGUGGCAAUGUCUGGGCUAAAAACACAGUAGGGGAAUGUUCACAUAUUUUGUCUUGCUGGGAUUUAAACUGAAUUAAAGAAAAACAGAAAUGAAAACAUUUGCAUUUGUUUAUGUAAUUAGAAAAAAAUCACAUAAAGCUGGGCCCGAGCUAGCCGAGAAUAUCUCUGUAAUGAACACAAACCUUUACCUUUUUGCAAGCACGCCGUAACUGCAGAGCUGCACAUAUCAUAUCUACCGUAUCAAUGACAUUUUGGAGUACGUAAAAAAACCCCACUCUAUUUGUCUUAGGAAAUAUCGAAAACUUUUAUAGGGAAUUUGGAAAAUAUUUUUUGGCCAGCAUGAAAGGUGAAAUCUUGCAGCACAAAGUACAGACAUGGGCACAGAGACUGAACAGACGGGCUGCUGUAAAACAACCAUUUAAUAAGGCAUUAAAAUGCCAUCGACUUGGACACAUAAAAAAAAAAAGCUAUGAAAACAAAUGCCUUUCAAAUAAUUAGGAUCUUAUGCUUGAGACCAGUGUUGAUCUCUAUGCAGAGAUUUUCCUGCUGAAAUCAGACCAGCCUAAGUCUGAUCGUCUAAGGAAGGAAUUAGCAGCGUAUAAAUCGGCUGCUGCUCGAGAUUUUUCUGUUUCUGCCAUACAUAACCAUUCAUUUAAAUGGCCACUUCAGACUUUCUAUCUCCUUCUUUCUGUUUCCUAGAGUAGUUUGAAACACAUUUGACUUAGUACGCCAGAAUAAUUUUUUAAUUGAAUCUUGAAUUUUUAUCAAGAGUACGUGAAAGGGUUGAAUUACCAGCUCCUGCCACACUGCAUAAGUGAAUCUGAGCCAAAUGCAGCCAGAAAUAGCAACAGAACCCAGUUCUGUUCUCCAAAACAUGGUGUGACUUUGCUUUCACUUGAAGUAAGGAACUUGGUGUUUAUAAUGCAUCAAAAUGAUAUAAAUCUGUCCUUCAACUCACCUGUAAUGCACGCAGACACAAAACCAAGAAGUAAAGUUGCCCAUUCAUGUCUGUGUAUUUACUCCUGGAUCACUGCUGUCAUGCUUGUCCUUGCCUGGAUACCUCACAGAAGACGCUCUAGUUACACAGAGCGUGUUUAAAACAACAGCAUCCGUGACAGUGUAGUUAACAUUAUUAAAAAAAAAAAUAGUAAAUGCGAUGUUGUCCGAGAGAUGAGCAUCAAAUUCUCAACUUGAAGCUGGAAUUUAAUAACAUUUCACAAAAGAAAUGUUUAAUGAAUAUUGCUUUUCACAUACAGUAAAGUGACUGUUUUGAUCUCCAUUUUGCUGUGCAUUAACAUCGAUAACCUUGGAUAAAUGGACGCACGGUCCUUCUGCUUUUUGUCUCGUUUCCUGUUCUGUCCUUAGCCUAAGGCACAGACUUUUAAACCUCUAAUUUUUCUUUCAGAUCUGUAAUUGCAAGUACUCUUAGAUUUUCUGUUUUUAACACAGGAUUUCACACAGAUGAGAACCCUGUGUGUAACUCCCAUAGCUAGGCAGAAUAGGAGAUCUUUCUCUUGAUAUUAUGAUUUCUUCUAUUAAUCGGUUUUAUAUGACUUUCUGCUAGCCUUGCUUUUAAAGGUGUGAAAACUUGCACUGCAGAGGUAUUUUAUAGAUUGCAACCAUAAUUUCUGAAUAAAAAUCUAAAUAACUGGUCUGGUUAUAAAGCUUUGGGCACAAUUUUUAGGUUCCUGGGAACUGCUGUUAAACCUCUGUUGCCAAUUGGCUAGCAGUACAUCCCAAUUAGUGACCCCUCUAUCUAGCAGUAGCUGUAUGUGAGUGACUUUUUAUUUUUUUUUUAAGUCAGUCGUAAAUGAUUAGUCCAAAAGAGUAGCAUAAAACUUCGAGCGAGUCCCCUGCAGGAGUCGGCUGGAGGAAAUUAAAGGAUCAACAACACAAGGGAAGCACUGAGGCAGGAUUGUUCCAGGCUGCAGCCACAGGCUUUCACAUGCACUCAGGAAAUUGACUUCAUCAAAAGCUGAGGAUGCAGGCGUGAGGAUGAGGAGGAUAAUACAGGUGAUGAUUCUAAAUCAUGGCUCAAUAUCACAGCGUUUUCCAAGGGAGAGGUUCCGUCCCGCCCUGAAGAAAGCAGGUUUUCUAUAUAAAAAUAGUCUUCUCCUUAUGAAUUAAUAAAAGUUGGGCACAAAUCUGAGCUAUAAAUCUAAUAUGACUUAAUAAAUAAUGAAGACUCAGUUUCCCCAAAACAAUAUCAGUUGGAUGUGGGGUUUUUUUUGCACAAGAAAAACAUGACUCCUUAUAAGCUCCACUGCUCAGUACAGAGCGUUAUUGCCCUGUGCACGUUUGUGUUUGUGAGAGCUGUAAAACAAAGGACUCCAGAGUGCUUCAGACUUACAGGCAGGCAAGGAGUUUUCUUUAAUGCUUCUAAGCAAAUUCUUGCUGCAGAAAUUUGGAUAUUCUGGGUCCAUGAUGAAGCUGAAACCUUCCUAGUGUAGUUGGAAAGAGUUGCAAGAGGGGAAAUGCAUAAAUCUACAUCUGGAGCCAAGUAUGCUGGGAAGGCGUAAAGAGAUGGGGAAGCAGGAGUGCCAGAACAGGGCUGAGAGCAUGAAAUUCUGCAGGGAAAAAUGGGAGAAAGAAAGAGGAAUGUCCCAGGAAUGAAGCUCUUAUAAUGUUCAAAUCUUUCCUCGGAAGUAAAAGUGUGGAAGGCUAUAAUCCAAAUAAGGAAAUUAGAACAAAAAUUAACAAUAUUCAGCUAUUCAGAUGUCAAAAGAAACAGCAGAGUUAUUGGUGUUAGAGGUUAUUGCCAGGAGGGAAAAACUCAGCAUGCUUUGGGUAAUUAAGCUUCAUUGGAGAGCAUGGAUCCCUUCUCCAGGUAAGAAAUGCUUUUAUAACACAGCAUCUUUUGCUAUUGUAAUUAAACACCACGGACUAUUCUGCAUAUGAAGUCUUAAACGCUUUAGUCCUUUAUCAUGGGAUUUUACUGGCCAGGCAUGUGUGUUCUUAUGGCAAAAAGCAUUGGCUGCUAUAAAAAAAGAAACCCAAACAUUUCUUUUUAUGACUUGACUUGCUGUAUUUUUAUAUAUAUUGAGCCAAAUCCAUCCCUUGUGGAGCUGAGUUGAAGCCAAUAAGGAUAGAUUUGGCCCAUGUCUAUAUGAGAAAGGUGGUGACAAUUAAAAUAUAUUGUUUAAUAAUGAGAGCUAUGGUAGUGAAGUGUCUUUGUGUCUAUGAAAUUAUACACCACGACACCACACUGCCAGUAGAGAGUGGGGCUAGCAAAACAAGUAAGAGCAGUUUCUGAUGGAAAGGCAAAAGCGCUCUAACUUUUAUUAUUAUGAUUAAAUAUCACAAAGGCAAGACUAAUUUAGGUAACAUCUCCAGAAGUCUCAUUUAUAGUGUAGUAUUUUGCCACAGUGUAUUUUAAAAUAUUUCUUGCAUGUCAUUAUAUGUAGCUAGCAAGGGUAGUAUGACUGGCUGCCAUUAGCAGUAAGUAAAAGAACGGUUCUUAUUUCAUUUAUAUUUUAGUGAUUUUCAGUAAUGCUGCAAAAAGGAAUGCAUCCUAUGAAAUGAAAUGUGCAGACAGCCAUUAUUAUCACUUUAUAUUGGUAGUUCCCAGCGGUUCCUCUGUGUGAGGCGUUGCACCAGCACAUGAAAUCCACUGCUGAUACCCUGAAGAUCUUCAGAUCUUGCCUAUUUAGGCAGUGAGAUAUGCAAAGCUUAUUGCACAGACAACCAGGUCAUCUGUACAAAACCAGAACAAAUGAGUUUUGUUUGGCUCCUUGACAUGGUGGGUUGCAGGAAGCAAAUCUUCUCUUGUAUCCCUGUUGGUAAGUUAUAACAACUUUUAUACGCCAAAGCCCUACUCAACUGCCUACUGACUUGUAUCCCUUUACUGAAGAUAUUUGGGUAAUGGAUACUCACAGCCAGUAAUCACAGACUUAAACCCAAGCUCUUCAAGGGGGUUGCCAGAAAGCUGGGCUCAACCAUGCAGCUCUGUAAAGAAGCUGAGCACUUAGAGAACACUGGCCAGCAGCAAUGGAGCCCAGGAGCAAUGGCCGAAGGCAAUCAAUCCAUUGCCCUGCUGAGCUAAUGGGCUCCAGCUGAAAAGGUACCUCUUAUAUGAAAAUAAUGGGACUUGGGAAGCCUCUCACCCUCAAAAACAGAGGAAAAGAAAAUGCGCAGCAGAAGUUCUUUUUUGCUGUAAUUAUUACUCAUUCUGAAUCUCUAUCAUAGAAAUCUGGCCUUUGGCACUGGAUUAAGAUAAUAUUUUAUUAGAAGAAAGCAUGAUUCAUCAAAUUGAUGCGUUGCAGUAUCUGUGGAAAGGAAAACUGGGAAGGACACAAAAGAAGCUGGGCUGUGGAAAACCACUGCCAAACAGAGAGUCUCAGACUGCACUAAGAAACAACAAAAAAGAAAAUAUUUCCAAAGAAACAUCUGAGCACAGCAUUACAGCCAAGUGAAGAAUUAUUACUGCAUUAGGCUUUCAGAGUGGGGCAUGCAGUGUAUGUGGUAGGAGAAUACCCUGUCAUUUUGAAAUUAAAGAAAAGUGCAUGUGUUCCACAUCAAAACUCAGUUCCUCAGAAGGCUUGUUUGCAUGCUGCCAGUUGCUUCUGCUCUUUGUCAAGAAGAAUAUUUUUAUUUUCUAGUUACCAUUUUCUCCCUCUCUCUCUCCUCCUCAUCAUUUUCAAGUUCACCAUUUCCUUGUGUUUAUUUCCUUGCUGUUGACUUCCUGCUUCCAUUCUUUUCUGUCUGGAGUAUGAAUAUUGAUUUUCAGGCGAUCUGAUUAAGUGCUUUGCAGAGUAGCUGCUCAGACGCACUGGGCAUGACUAAACCAUGAUUUGCGGAGUGUGUCUGCGUCAUCCAUCAAGCACAACUACUCUCUGCCUCAGACCUAACCUGUGCGCAGCGAAGCCAAGGCUGAAAGCCUUGAAAAGAAGAUCAGAGGCCUGGUCUUGCCAUGCUGAAAUCUAUAAAAGUUUUCCUACUGACUUCAACAGAAACAGGACUAAGCCUUAUGAUUCUGGCAGGAAAAUCUGAGAAUAUUCCUUUACAGCUCUCUACUGAAUGUUGAACUCCAGAAUACAUUGUUGUCAGCCUUAUGUAAGACAGAGACUGUUAAGGAAAGACAGUAGUUUUGCACAUACUGUUCUCUGCACAUGUUGUUCUUCAGUAAAUAUUUAUCAAAGGAUGCGUCCGUUCCUGCUGGCAGCGUCCGAGGCAUUGGACAAAUUUGGCCUGAUUUCCUGCUGUCAGUGCAAACCUCCCAACUAGAAGCUGAAUUUAUCAAGUUUCGUCUUUCAAAACUGUUAAAAUCAUUCUUAUCCAAGUAGAUAGUGCUGACAAAAAUGGUCAUUCGAUGAAAUACUCUUUAAGAAAAGGCACGUCCUCCAGCUUGUAAGUACAGCCCCACUGAAAAUAUUCAUCAAAACUGUAACAAAGCACGGCUAAAGGCCAAAAAUUUGUAUUUGCUGAAAACUGAGGAAAACGGCAACAGAAAGAAAACCAGAUGAAAGUUUGUUGGCACUUGCAGGAUACUUGUUCAGGCCUCUUACCCUCUACUAUUUGUCUGUGGAACUAGACUCUUCUGACCUGUUCUAGCUAUUCCUCACAUGUUCCUUUCAGUGUGUUUUACUUUUCUUGUGCUUGAACAAGUUUAUAAUUAGCAUAAAAUAAGCCUGAUUUUAAUUGAGUUAGCAUUAUCAGCACUUUGCACUAAUUUAUAUACCCUUUCAUUUCCUCUUUUAAGCUCUUUUUAGGUCAGACUUAGGCUUGGGGCUGUGCUUUGGUGCACACUGUGCAAAGGAUGUGGUGGCUGAACAGAAAGGGCUUGGAUCCCAAAGCCUCAGGGCUUACUACCACCAGAUGCCUGAACUGAAAUCUCUCUUUUGGAGUGCAGUUCUUCUGGAAGAGAACCUGAGGAGCUGCAGCUGCGCCUUCUCUACCUAUGCCUGGUACUUACAGCACCCCGUGGCUAAAGGGACCUGUGGUCACCUCCUCAACUCCUGACGGACACAGCCUGCAGUGUGCCAUGGGCUGGGAGAGUUAAUGGUUUGGAGGAGACUGUUCCACCCGCAUGGGAAUAAUUAGCAUUGCAAGGACUGUGAGGCCCCAGGCCACUGCCCAGGUCAUGCAGAUGGAAAGAAGCAAUGUGUCCAAGCCCCAUGCUGGCUGCUAAUGGCAUACCUCAGGGAUACUGGGACUCCUGGGAGCAUUUCUCUAAACUUUGUGCUGUGAAGAACAGCUGGCAGUGGCAGCGGUCAGGGAGUGGCUGCUACCCAGCCCUGCUGGCACUGAGGAGGUGGCUUUGUGCGUGCCCCUAGGGAGGCUGCAUCUAUAUGAAGAUCUGGAGGUUUAUGCUAUCUUUUUAUUAUUGAAGGCUUGUUACUUCAAACCCACCAUGACUGCUGCGGCUCAGUCCCAGAAACUGUCAGUCAGGGAUGCUUUCUGGUUGCCAUUACAGCAGGGGCUCACUGGCAGACAGGUGCCUGCCCUCACUAGGCCUCAUUCGGCCUCGCUAGGCUUGCUUGGCCUUACUCGACAUCACUAGGCCACACUAGGCCACACUAGGCCACACUAGGCCACACUAGGCCUCACUAGGCUGCAUCACUGCCCAGACAGCUCUCAACUGGGCCAUGAAGCCCAAACCCAAGUUUAAUUUUAAACUUCACCUCAAUUUAAACACAACACAGGCUGCUCUGUACCACCCAGAGCUGGCACACGGCGUGGAUCUGCCACGACACUGCUGCCUGAAGGCUUUUCCUUAGGGGGGGCUCUGUGAUGGGCACCACCUGGGCAGCAGUUUCACACAUGACAUUGUUUUUGUUUUGAAUUCGUGUCGGAAAAGGCUUUUUUGCUUUUGUUGUACCGCUCCCAACAUUUUCUGCUCUUUCAUUUUUAAUACUGAACCUGUACUUUGUAGAAAGGAAAUAGGUCAAAACUUUAUUCUCCCCAGCAGCAAGUUGUUGGCUCAUGACUUCUGUUACAACCAACUAUCAAAGCAAUGAAAGCCCUCGCUUCACAUUGAAUUUGGGCUGCCUCUUGUCACAGGCAAGUGCGUGGCACCUCCUUGGAGCAGAACCUUAAAUUAAAAUAUUGUAAAUUUUUUGCUGCUCCAGCAGUACUGCAGAAAUGCAAGUGGCCAAGGGGGGAGGAGGUUUUUUCCUCCUGCUGGAAUUUUUCACUAUAACCAUCCUCAGGGGAGUUCUCAUCUUCAAAAGAAACAUUCCUUCUAUACAAGCUGCAAAAAGAAUUAUUUAAUGACAUCAUAAAUUAAUACAGAGAGGCACAAAUUUUCCAAAAUGUGGAGAGAGAGAAAAAAAAAAAUUAUCGUUUGCCAAAAACACCCAAGCUCUUCCAGACUAAGGCCUCUCCUGAGCCUGGGAGCUGCCAACGAUACCAAACUGAACGGUGGGGUUUCUGGCAUGACUCAAGUUUAGCUUGUUUAAAUUUUGGCAAAUACUCGUAUUACUCAUAUACUCAGCAAACUGAUACAAAUAUUUGUUCUAUUUAGAGUGAAGUCCAAACUCACUGCUGGCACCAGUGCUGCUGGACUCAGUGGAACUAAUCUUGCUCAUGCCAGUAUGAAAUUUGGACAUCUACCUUAAAGAAAAACAGCCUUUGAGGUACAGAUUAGAAUACAUCAAUGGAAAACAGAACUCGUGUGUAGCCAAGUUUUCCUCACUUGCUAAUUUUUGCUUUAAUCUGAUUUGAACUGGACCACGUUUUUCUGGACUUGGGCUGCUACUCGCUGUUAUGAUGCAGCCACCAGGUCAGAGCUGGAGCUGGAAAAGCCUUCAUGCACGUGAAGUUCUCUGCAUUCUUGAGAAGUGAAAUCUGUAGUAAGUAGAGCCUGGGCACAGUGAGCAUAUUUGAUUGAUUGUAGUGCUGUAUAGGUUGCUUCUUUUUAAUGAUGCCUUCAGUUUACUGUUUCUGGUUUGUAAAGCAAAUAGACAAACAACCAACCAGAUGGGAAAUGCAGACCUGCCUUGGGGCUUGGGUUCCGCAUCUGGUCGCACCUGCGCUUUGCCCAUGAGCUCUCUCUGGGUUCGGAUUCAAAAAACAGGUUAGGCAUUGUGCAAUGAGAAGAGCAAGACGAAAACCACCACCCUUCCAUUCCUUAAUGCAGCCAACGCAUGCCCCAGGGGUGUGCUGGCUGAGGAUCUGUGCUCAGUUCAGCUGUGGUUUGUAAGCAGCAUGCUGUUUAAUGCUAUCUAAAUGUUUUUAUAAAGGUCAAGUAGGAGUGGGAUCCUCCUAACUUAACUUUAGCCAUUUAGAAAUGAGAAAUCUAGUCUGCCUGAGCUAGAUUCCUCUGCGAGUGGAAAAUAUCAGCACUGCAGAAUGAUUCAUCCCAUUUUAAUCUGCCCAGUCUCUCUCCAUUGACUAUAAAAGGGGCCUGGAUGACCAGAUUAGCAUAUACCCAAAUUUUAGACACAUAUGUGCUCACUCAGCAUUUUACAAUCAGCCCUGCAGUGGCCAUACCAGGUACUAUUUUCACAGCUCACGGUGUGCCACAGGGCUGCACGCAGUGCCUGCACAGCUCCCGUGGCUCCUGGAGCAAUGAAUCUUGGCUGUGAGCAUUGCUGCAUGUGUCCUCAGCCUCGGUCUUAAAACCUGGAUUGCUUACAGGUUCAGGGCUCAUCUGUACUGCCUUGACAGAAAGCUGCUGGGCCAAUUCUUGUAGGAGCUGCUUCCAAAACAGCCUUAGAUGCAUAAAUAUUGUAUUGAGUGACAUAAAGUUUAAAAAAAAAAAGUUAAAAAAAGAAGCAGUGACUACUCCUUGAAAAGGGCAUUAUUAUUAUUGGCCAUAGUUGUGAAACAGGUAAAAUAUCCCAAAAAGAGUCAAGUGCACAUCUGGAUAAAGUGUGGGAUUGGUGUAAUUGGACAGAAGAAGGGAGAAGACAGAGCAAGCAUCCAGUAAUUCACCACGGAACAGCUUUAUGCUUGUUAUUGAAAUGCAGCCAGAGACAGUUAAUAGUAGUAAAAUGACUUUAUGUUCUGAUAUGUAAAAUAAAAUGUCCAUGCUAUGUAACAAACAGUUGAAAAUUCCACACCACCUGUAUCUAUCGUGGUUUCUAAUAAAAUUUUAUCUGUAGUAUAUAUGGUUUUUAUCUAACCA